UAUAGGUGACAGAAACAGAAUGGAGGAGAGUGCAGUGAAGUGCAAGCAUUCCACAGGUCAGCUUUUUGCUGUGUCUGAUUUACCAUCAUGCAGCGGAAAAACAGAUGCAGAAUACCUGGUAUUGGUGUCAAAGUGGGUGUCCACACACAGAGAUGAGAGAUUCGUCUUACAGAAUCCAGUUGGUGCCACACUGAGAGUAG